AGCAGCCGCGGUAAUUCCAGCUCCAAUAGCGUAUAUUAAAGUUGUUGCAGUUAAAAAGCUCGUAGUUGAAUUUCGGGAUCAAAUUGUCGGUCGUGCCUCGGUACGCACUGGUAUUAUUGGUUCCUCCCUUCUGAAGAACCGCGAUGUCAUUAAUUUGGUGUCGGUUGGGAAAUCAGGACUGUUACUUUGAAAAAAUUAGAGUGUUUAAAGCAAGCGCACGCUUGAAUACAUUAGCAUGGAAUAAUGAAAUAGGACGUUUGAUUCUAUUUUGUUGGUUUCUAGGAUCGACGUAAUGAUUAAUAGGGAUAGUUGGGGGCAUUAGUAUUCAAUUGUCAGAGGUGAAAUUCUUGGAUUUAUUGAAGACUAACUACUGCGAAAGCAUUUGCCAAGGAUGUUUUCAUUAAUCAAGAACGAAAGUUAGGGGAUCGAAGACGAUCAGAUACCGUCGUAGUCUUAACCAUAAACUAUGCCGACUAGGGAUCGGAUGAUGUUAAUUUUUUAAUGACUCAUUCGGCGCCUU
rnacentral:rRNA from 1 species